AGCAGCCGCGGUAAUUCCAGCUCCAAUAGCGUAUAUUAAAGUUGUUGCAGUUAAAAAGCUCGUAGUUGAAUUUCGGGGUUAGUAGGUUGGUCAUGCCUCUGGUAUGUACUGGUCUCACUGAUUCCUCCUUCCUGAUGAACCGUAAUGCCAUUAAUUUGGUGUUGCGGGGAAUUUGGACUGUUACUUUGAAAAAUUAGAGUGUUUAAAGCAAGCUAACGCUUGAAUACAUUAGCAUGGAAUAAUGAAAUAGGACGUUCGAUCCUAUUUUGUUGGUUUCUAGGAUUGACGUAAUGAUUAAUAGGGAUAGUUGGGGGCAUUAGUAUUCAACUGUCAGAGGUGAAAUUCUUGGAUUUAUUGAAGACUAACUACUGCGAAAGCAUUUGCCAAGGAUGUUUUCAUUAAUCAAGAACGAAAGUUAGGGGAUCGAAGACGAUCAGAUACCGUCGUAGUCUUAACCAUAAACUAUGCCGACUGG
rnacentral:sRNA from 1 species